CCUACGGGAGGCAGCAGUGAGGAAUAUUGGUCAAUGGUCGUAAGUCUGAACCAGCCAUGCCGCGUGCAGGAAGACGGCUCUAUGAGUUGUAAACUGCUUUUAUACAAGGGUAAACCUGAAUACGUGUAUUCAUCUGUAGGUACUGUACGAAUAAGGAUCGGCUAACUCCGUGCCAGCAGCCGCGGUAAUACGGAGGAUCCGAGCGUUAUCCGGAUUUAUUGGGUUUAAAGGGUGCGUAGGCGGUCGGAUAAGUGAGAGGUGAAAUCCCGAGGCUCAACGUUGGAAUUGCCUCGGAUACUGGUUGGCUAGAGAGCACGUGAGGUAGGCGGAAUGUAUGGUGUAGCGGUGAAAUGCUUAGAGAUCAUACAGAACACCGAUUGCGAAGGCAGCUUACGAAGGCACUUCUGACGUUGAGGCACGAAGGCGUGGGUAGCAAACAGGAUUAGAUACCCGAGUAGUC
rnacentral:rRNA from 1 species